AGGGAAUAACACUCGAAAUGUAUAUAAGAAAUACUCAAGUUAAUAAUAAAAUAUAUAUAUAUAUAUUCUAAAAAGUCUUUAAUUUCUAUCUUUAUUUCUUUCUUGACCUAGUUAUCAUUGAGUAGAGCAUUGUUCAGAUUCAAUAUAUAUAUGGCCAUUCUCUUGAUUUUGUUGUCAUUGAAGAUCAGCCUUAGUCCACGAUGAUCUGAUAAGGUGCAUGGGCCAUUUUCAAUUUUCUUGUAUCUGUUGAGACCUGUUUUGUGACUGAUUAUACAGUCAGUUUUAGAGAAAGUAUCAUGUGCUGCAAAGAAAAAGUUUUAUUCUUUUGUUUUAGUAUGAAAUGCCCUAUAGAUAUCUGUGAAAACCAUUUGGUCAUAACCUCUGUUAGUUUCACUGUGUCUCUGUUCAGUACCUGUUUCCAUGAUCUGUCCAUUGAUGAGGCAGGGGUGUUGAAUUCUCCCACUCUUAUUGUGUGUGGUUCAGUGCAUGCUUUGAGUUUUAGUAAGGUUUCUUUUAUGAAUGUAGGUGCCCUUGCAUUUGGAGCAUAGAUAUUCAGAAUUUAGGGCUCACCUUGGUGGAUUUUUACUUUGAUGUGUAUGAAACACUCUUCUUUAUCCUUUUUGACAACUUUUGGUUGAAAUUCAAUUUUCUUCUAUAGUAAAAUUUCUACUCCAGCUUGGAACCAUUGUCUUUUACUGUGAGCUAGUAUCUGUCUUUGUCACUGACUUUCGUUUCCUGUAAGCAGCAAAUUUCUGGGUCCUGUUAACAUAUCUAGUCUAUGUCUUUUUAUUGGGGAAUUGAGUCCAUUGAGGUUAAGAGAUAUUAAGGAGUAGUUGUUGCUGUUUCCUGUUUUGUUUUGUUUUUAUUUUUGUUAUUAGAGGUGGAAAUAUGUUUGUGUGGCUCUCUUCUUUUGGGUUUGUUGCAAGACUACUUUCUUGCUUUUCCUAUUGUUUGGUUUUUGUCCUUUGUAGGGCUGAAAUUUUGGAAUGAUAUUGUGUAAAUUUGUUUUUGUCAUGGAAUAUUUUAGUUUCUCUAUCUAUGGUAGUUGAGAGUUUUAGUGGAUAAAGUAGCCUGGGCUGGCAUUUGUGUUCUCUUAGGAUCUGAAUGACAUCUGUCCAGGAUUUUCUAGCUUUCUUGGUCUUUGUUGAAAAGUCUGGUCUGCCAGAUUCUGAUAGGUCUGCCUUUAUAUGUUACUUGACCUUUUUCCCUUACUAGUUUCAAUAUUCUUUCUUUGGUUUCUGCAUUUGUUGUUUUGACUAUUAUGUGAUGGGAGGAGUUUCUUUUCUGGUCCAGUCUAUUUGGAGUUCUGUAGGCUUCUUGUAUGUUCACGGGCAUCUCUUACUUUAGGUUAGGGAAGUUUUCUUCUAUAAUUUUAAUGAAGAUAUUUACUGGCCCUUUGAGUUGGGCGUCUUCACUCUCUUUUAUACCUAUUAAUUUUAGGUUUCAUCUUCUCAUUGUGUAUGAAAUUUCCUGGAUGCUUUGGGUUAUGAACAUUUUGCAUUUUGCACUUUCUUUGACUAUUGUUUCAAUGUUUUCUAUUGUUUCUUCUGCCCCUGAGAUUCUCUCUUCCUUCUCUUGUAUUCUGUUGGUCUUGCUUGCAUUUAUGAUUCCUGAUCUCUUUCCUAGGUUUUCUAUCUCCAAGGUUGUCUCUUUUUGUGAUUUCUUUAUUGUAUCUAUUUCCAUUUUUAGAUCCUGUGUGGUUUUGUUCAAUUCCUUUACCUGUUUGGUUGUAUUCUCCUGUAUUUCUUUAAUGGACUUAUUCAUGUCCUUCUUAAAGUCUUCUAUCAUCAUCAUGAAAUAUGUUUUUAUCUAUGAAUUUUGCUUUUCACAUGCAAUAAGGUAACCAGGACUUGCUGUAGUGGGGAACUGGGUUCUGAUGAUGUCAUGUAGCCUUGGAUUCUGUUGUUUAUGUUCUUGUGCUUGCCUCUCACCAUCUGGUUAUCUCUAUUGCCUGCCCUAUCUAUCUCUGAUUGAAGCCUGUCCUUCAUCCUGGUUGUAUCAGAACUUCUCAGAAUCCAGGUGUCUUUGUGAUGCUGUGAUCCUGAGAUUCUGUGGUCCUGGGAUUCUGUGGUCCCGCGAUCCUGGGAUCUUGGGAUAGUGAGUGUGUCAGAGCUCCUGGGAGUUGAGCUGCCUCUGAGAUGUUGAAUUCCUGGUGUGACCAACCUCCUGAGAUCCUGUUGUGUCAGAGCUCCAGAAUGUGAAGAUAUCCAAGUUAAAAGAUUUUAAACAUAAACAAAGCAAUAUGUGAACUGUACUUGGCGUGGUAUACCCUGGAAUCUCAAUAAAUUCACACAUCAGCCUA